UACGAAGGGGGCUAGCGUUGCUCGGAAUCACUGGGCGUAAAGCGCACGUAGGCGGAUUGCUAAGUCAGGGGUGAAAUCCUGGAGCUCAACUCCAGAACUGCCCUUGAUACUGGCGGUCUCGAGUCCGGGAGAGGUGAGUGGAACUGCGAGUGUAGAGGUGAAAUUCGUAGAUAUUCGCAAGAACACCAGUGGCGAAGGCGGCUCACUGGCCCGGUACUGACGCUGAGGUGCGAAAGCGUGGGAAGCAAACAGG
rnacentral:rRNA from 1 species